UACGGAAGAUGCGAGCGUUAUCCGGAUUUAUUGGGUUUAAAGGGUGCGUAGGCGGACUGUCAAGUCAGCGGUAAAAUUGAGAGGCUCAACCUCUUCCCGCCGUUGAAACUGGUGGUCUUGAGUGGAUGAGAAGUACGCGGAAUGCGUGGUGUAGCGGUGAAAUGCAUAGAUAUCACGCAGAACUCCGAUUGCGAAGGCAGCGUACCGGCAUCCAACUGACGCUGAGGCACGAAAGCGUGGGGAUCAAACAGG
rnacentral:rRNA from 1 species